rnacentral:lncRNA from 1 species
AGAUGAGAGUUGGAGACACUGGGGAGAAAGAGAGCAAAGAGUUGAGAACCUGAUAUAUGAUAAGGAAAAUCCAAAGAGGUAAGAGAUGGAUGG